GUGUGUGGAGUACUGCAGUUCAGCUUUGGGAAGUUAUUUGGCAGAGCAUGAUCAUGGACAGGGAUGUGUGGUUCCGUGGAGAAUCUAAGCUAUCUCCCUAUGGUCGCUUUUAACUGACCUCAAUUUGGUUUAUGUAGGACCUGUUCUAGGAAAGAGGGAUAAAUAACGUAACAAUAGAUUAUCUUAUUAAUGUUAUUAUUACAAAAGGAAGAGAUCAGUGAUUUGAUUUGUCCAAUUAAUUUUUGUCUGGUUACUUAGUUCAACUGACUAUGACACAUCAGUUGGAAGGAUUAUUACAAAAUAAUGUAGCCUUUUCAUACAUAUUUGCAUCUUUCUAAGAUGAGAAUGCUUGCUUGAUGUAAUAGGAUUUGGGACCAGAUGGAGAAUGUACUUCUUUUUGCACUUGCUUCUCUCAUAUUUUUGCCGUAGAUUUGUGCAUUGCUGGGCAAUUUUAAGAUGCUAAGCGAGUGUUUCUUUCAUUAGGUCUUGUUGUUGUUGCAUGAUUAUGAUUCUCUCAUUUUUUUUUGAAACAAUGUCGGUGCCAAAUACUAGGACUACAGAGUUAGAUUUACAUUGUUGUCAUUGUCCAAUAAGUUUCUUUCUGUAUAAUUAAAUACUUAACUUUAAUAAGAGGGAAUAGGUAACAUAAAUUUUUCAACCACUAUUUCUUUCUGAAUAUUAAUUACUUGUCCUUUUUUUUUGCUCCAAGUGAUAUUUGAAAUUAUGCACACUGAUAUUUUUUUGACAUGGAGAAGCUGAACCUAAUGUAUAGGGGGCACUCUUUUUUUGCAUGAUUCUUCUAGCUAACUGAAUUAAAAAAAAAUCCUAGAGAAGGAAACAGUUACUUGGCCAAUAUACAUUAUUUAGUGCGUUUUUUAAUCAGAGCCUAUUUGUUCCCUUACUAAUGCUUAUCACACUAGAAAUGAAUAUGCUCAUGUUGCAUAGAUUUUGAUUUAGUGACCAUACACCUAAAGAGAAUAUCGAUUGAGAUUUGGGAACAACCCAAGUACCUUGCUGUUUGUACCCAGCGGCGGCAGUGGUUAAUUGAAGUGGGAAAUGGAUGACAGCGGUGGAAGACACCGUUGUGCCCGAACGGGCGCGUUAUGGAGGUCCUCAUCGUUAGGAUCACAUGGCCAUGCGGACGCGCUGCCGCGAUGAGUUUACAACGAUGGGAUGAGUUUACAACGAUGGCAACAAGGACGUAGCGCAGGAGCAACAAAGCAGUAAAGGGCAGCGACGGGGCACUGCAGGGAGACGCCAUCCCGUGGUGUGGUGAGUCGUCGGCGCAAAGAAGGGAAGCAUAACGCAGCUGCCACGAUAGCAGAGCCCUAGGCUGGCUUUAGAAUUAGAGGUAGAAGUUCGAAAUAUGCAGACCAAUGAUGAAGGGCAGUGAAUUAUCAGGAGGUCACCUCAAGAUUGCUUGUUUUGUUGAUCAAGUGUUGUUAUUCCAGUGAUGACAUGAUUGGGCCAGCCGUAUCCCUCUGCUAAGGAAAGUGAGCAAGGAUACCUGGAGGUAAGUAGAAGCAGAUGGACUACUUGCAGCUCAGCAGGAAGCUAAUCUAUCCAUAUCACUGGAACUAAAAGUUAGUUUGGUCUGAUGCGUCUAAUAAUUUUAAUGGGAGCACAGUGCAAUGGUUCAAUGGAAAGAAUGUAAUUAAAGAGUGUGUAAGUUUUAAUUUUGCGGGAACUUUGGAUAAUUAAAGCAUAUGUUCAAGAAAUACCUUCACUCGUUGAAACACAAUUAUUUUGUGUGAAUAAUUCUUUGCAAUGGGUACAUAAGCAUUCCUGA